AAUUGGGUUGUGUGUGGAUUUGCAUAGAAGAAUGUAGUUGGAAAAGCUGAAGGAAAGAGACCACUCUGGGGAAUCUUAGGCAUGUAUUAAAAAUUAUUAUUAUGAUGGAUCUCUAAAUUUGGCGUGAGGAUGUGGACUAAAUUCAUCUGGCUCAGGACAGGUCCAAUGGCAGGUUAAUGAACCUUCGAUGUCCAUAAAAAGCAUAGAGAGUAUACUGACUAGUCAAGUGACUUUCAAUUUCUCAAGGACUAUGCUAUGGAUAUGGCAUGCUUGUAUCACGUCCAUAAUGGUGCUGGGUACUGUCUUUUGGAAAGAGGCUGGUUCAUUCAUAUGCUGGUAGGGCCCGGUCAUUUGCAAAACGAUCAGGUUAUUCGGUGUUUAAACACUGAAAAUAUUCGAUAUUUUUCAGUAAUCGAAUUAUUCGAUAUUCGAAGUUAUAAUUGUGAUCCUUGGUUGUGACAGCACAACAGGUUAUCUAUGACAAAAUCGAGUCAGAACAGAUUAUGCCAGUACAGACAGGUGUGCAGUGUGAUUGAAUAUACUUCUGAGCUCUUCACGUGUUCGGAGAGCAAAUAUAUUUACGAUUUUGGGGAUGAACACUACGAGGGGUAUAUGGUGUUCGAGUCAUGAAGUUGGUUUGUGUAAUUGUUCAUCUGGAACAACCAGUUCAGGAAAAUAAUCUACUUAUUAUUUCACGUCAUGGUCAAGUCACCUCUCCAGCUCAGCUUCCUGAUUUUCCACAAGCUGCAACUCCUGGCCAAGUGAUGGAAGAGCAGGAAAUAAGAUUCGAACAACCUCAUAUAGGCGUGCUGUGACCGAAUGAAGUUCAGCAACUGCAUGAUCUAGCAGGAGAGGAUGGACGCGAACGCCACCAUAUGUUGCCGUGUACGCUGCUGUCACCUCGGCCAGCAGUCUUCCCAGAGGAUGAUGCUGACUCUCAAAUGCCUGCAUGCAACACAGCUCUACAUUUGGCUUACUGCCCUUUGCUGCUGUUGGUUCUGGCACGCCUAACUGCUGAUAGCACUGCCGAAAAAUGGCCUUCCACUUCUGAUUUGCAGCAACACACAAUUUUCCGAAGGAGCUGCAGCACAUGUAAAUAGAAGACAAGAGAUGAUAUACGCAUGAUGACCUUUGUGUGUUCAAUGCAUGCAAAGAAAUCUACACCGAAGUAAACUCAUUAAUCAGUUUACAAAAACAUAUGUUGAAGGCUUACCGUAAGAACAUCUUGUGUGAAAGCACCUUCAUA